UCUCGAUAAGGGCAAAACUGGCGAAAGCCAGCGACGCAAAGCUAAAGGGGCUCCCGCAGUUUAAGCUGCAUGCCAGCCAGCCACCGAA
rnacentral:ncRNA from 1 species